rnacentral:tRNA from 1 species
GCCUGGGUGGCUCAGUCGGUUAAGCGUCUGACUUCGGCUCAGGUCAUGAUCUCGCGGUCCGUGAGUUCGAGCCCCACAUCGGGCU